CUUUAGACCUUAGUUUUACUCAAUAAAACAACUGGUGUGGUGGCUUAUAGGUAAUGCCAUUCCAAUCCCAUUCUUGUCGAAUAUAUAUUAUUAUAUUACCUGCUGUAUGUGUGUUUUAUACUAUAUACUUUCUCAAUGGGAGGCAUAUUUCUUGUUUCUGAAUUCCAAGUAUCAACUAGUUUUCUUCUGCUUAUAGAAUCUGCUUCCUUCAAAUUUCUAAAAGAAACUUCUCGGCCAAAUUAUUACAGAGCUUUGUAUGGCGUCAAAAGUUCUUCCUAUAUUUUUGGAAUGUUACCUUAAUUCAUCAUGCUAUGCACACUGUUUGUGGUCAUAGUUUUUGCUUCCUCAAUGUGAUAGUGUUUUACCAAAUUCUGUCAAAAAAAGUUUGUUGUUCGAGUUAUACGAGACUAGCAACCGAAGUUCUGCUUGAUUCUCAACCGAAGGUCAAGGAAUAACGGGGUAGUCAAAUCUGACAGCAAUCAUGGCACUUUGUUCAGGAGAAAUUUGUAGAUUAUCUGCCCAGAAUCCCACGCGGCUAUGAAAAAUAAAAGUCAAAUGCUUCUUUUUUUCAAGUUUGAAAUUUCACAUCCAUGGAUUUGUGGUUGUAUUCGUGUUUAUUUAAGGAGAGGGAUACUUCUCUAAGUUAUUAUGGUCCUACAACACUGAGCAAGCUGGGUGGUAUGGAUGGUGUCUUGAAGCAACGUAAUGAAUUCGUAUCCAAGACAACAAUUUCGACAUUUUCAUUCCGUCCUAUGAUCAUUCUAUUCGGUUUCAUUUCAUUGUUCAAUUGUAAAUCCAAAAAGCAAUGUCUGGCAACGUGUUCUUCCCCGAUGAAAUCCUGGUGGAAAUCUUUCGCAGACUUCCAUCAAAAAGCAUUGUGAGAUGCAGCGCAGUGUGCAAGUUAUGGCGGUCUCUAGUCACCAACGAAUCCUUCAUCUCCCUCCACCACCGCCGCCGAGAUCCCUUCCUCACCCUCCGCCUUCCCUCCUUCCCCGAUCACGAGUUCCCCGUCGUUGCCUUCUGUAAUGCCUGCAUCACCGAGAUCUCCUUUGCAUUGCCUACGGUGAACAAUGCCUGCCCGUUAUCAUUUGCAAUCCAAGUAUUCGACGAUAUGUCUACCUGCCCACACCCCACGACUACCCUUGCUACCACCAUUCCUACAUUGCCCUCGGUUUUGAUUCGAGUAAUUGCGAUUACAAGGUGAUCAGAAUUUCUUGCAUCGUGGAUGAUGAAAGCUUUGGCCUUUCUGCUCCCUUGUUUGAGCUUUACCCUCUUGUAACUGGGUCUUGGAGGAUCCUUGAUAGCAUUGCUCCUGUCUGUUACGUGGCUGGAGAUGCUCCCGAUGGUUUUGAGGACGGGCUUGUUCAUUGGGUUGCCAAGCGCUAUGUGACCGGUGCUUGGUACUAUUUUGUUUUGUCCUUUCGUCUUGAGGAUGAGAUGUUUGGAGAGGUUAUGCUGCCUGAGAGCUUGGCUCAUGUAUCCUCGGUUGCAGUUAUGGUGAAGGUUGUCAGAGGUGCAAACGGGAAGACUCUCACUGUGUACCAUGGAGAGAUCUGUAAGUAAUCAUGGAGGUGUUUAGGUACUCAAGAGACUGAUCCUACAACAUUGAGCAAGCUAAUCAGUUUGAUGGGUGGUGUCUUGGGGCAACAUAAUUAUUUACUGCUGAGGGGAGUUAUGGUGCCAAAUGCUAGUUGAAGAAAUAUUGCCUAAAGUGAUAGAGGGAAUGAGAGAUGAUGGUCAAAUAUUAGCUAGCUGCUGCAACCUGCGAACAUAGAUAGUUAAUUGUUGCUAUGGGUGUGGCUUUUACCUUGAGUUUCAUAUGGAGGGCAUUGCUUUGCAUCACCGACAAUGUAGAAGUAUUACCUUUUUAUUUGUCAGCCUUCCUUAAUCCCCACCACCACCUUUUUUCAUUCUUUUUAUACAGCUUGUGUUUUACAAAUGUAUGUAAGAUUGUCAAAAUUACUUGCAACAUGCAAGAUCACUGAAGACAAUGGAAAUAAGUUUCAUUUCUAUUAAAUUUUUACAAGAAAAAAAAUGACCUUUGUCUUUA